rnacentral:rRNA from 1 species
GAUGAACGCUGGCUACAGGCUUAACACAUGCAAGUCGAGGGGAAACGACGGGGAAGCUUGCUUCCCCGGGCGUCGACCGGCGCACGGGUGAGUAACGCGUAUCCAACCUGCCUCUGACUGAGGGAUAACCCGUCGAAAGUCGGCCUAAUACCUCAUGGUAUCGUCUGCGGGCAUCCAACGACGAUUAAAGAUUUCAUCGGUCAGGGAUGGGGAUGCGUCUGAUUAGCUUGUUGGCGGGGUAACGGCCCACCAAGGCUACGAUCAGUAGGGGUUCUGAGAGGAAGGUCCCCCAAAUUGGAACUGAGACACGGUCCAAACUCCUACGGGAGGCAGCAGUGAGGAAUAUUGGUCAAUGGGCGAGAGCCUGAACCAGCCAAGUAGCGUGCAGGAAGACGGCCCUAUGGGUUGUAAACUGCUUUUAUGAGGGGAUAAAGUGAGGGACGUGUCCCUCAUUGCAGGUACCGCAUGAAUAAGGACCGGCUAAUUCCGUG